rnacentral:misc_RNA from 1 species
GGAGUUGAAUUCCGAGGCAAAACGACGCGUUUUGAAGGUGCAGUGUGUCUCUGUGUCUUCUGAUGGGAAGGCACCAGCAAAUAGGGAUCCAGAGGUCCAAGAGUUAAAGAAUUAUAAAAAAUCUAAAUUAAGACAGAUCAGUGAGUGUACAGCACGCGCGAGAAGAGGAGUUUAGAUUCUCCGACGCAGCUCUGUUUUCGUCUUUGGUAGUCUUGUUCGUUGGUCUCUCUACAGGGAACGAUUGUAGAAGUAGUGUCCGGGCAGCGAAGGAGAACAGACGAAAAGAGAGAAGAAGGUUAAAACGUUGCGUUUUAU